AUUGAACGCUGGCGGCAUGCCUUACACAUGCAAGUCGAACGGUAACAGGUCUUCGGAUGCUGACGAGUGGCGAACGGGUGAGUAAUACAUCGGAACGUGCCCGAUCGUGGGGGAUAACGAAGCGAAAGCUUUGCUAAUACCGCAUAAGAUCUACGGAUGAAAGCAGGGGACCGCAAGGCCUUGCGCGAACGGAGCGGCCGAUGGCAGAUUAGGUAGUUGGUGGGAUAAAAGCUUACCAAGCCGACGAUCUGUAGCUGGUCUGAGAGGACGACCAGCCACACUGGGACUGAGACACGGCCCAGACUCCUACGGGAGGCAGCAGUGGGGAAUUUUGGACAAUGGGCGAAAGCCUGAUCCAGCCAUGCCGCGUGCAGGAUGAAGGCCUUCGGGUUGUAAACUGCUUUUGUACGGAACGAAAAGACUCUUUCUAAUAAAGAGGGUCCAUGACGGUACCGUAAGAAUAAGCACCGGCUAACUACGUGCCAGCAGCCGCAGUAACAC
rnacentral:rRNA from 1 species